GGACUUACUGCAAAUCCUGCCCUUAGGGCAAAUUCCUACCUAUUCCUGCGGAAGCAUGUGUAUCAUUCCCCUAUGGUUUAUAACCCCUGAGUCUGGGGGUAAUGGCACGGGGACCCACCAGCUUGUCUGCCGCCAUCUGGGGUACAGUGCUGGAAGCGGGGAUACAGGGACAAAUAAGACACAGAUCCUGUUCCUAAAGAGUUUUUUGAGAUGAAGUCUCGUUCUUGUCCCCCAGGCUGGAGUGCAAUGGCAUGAUCUCAGCUCACUGCAACCUCUGCCUCCCGGGUUCAAGCAAUUCUCCUGUCUCAGCCUCCUGAGUAGCUGGAUUACAGAGUCUUUUCUAAGGCACCAACUACUUCCUUCAAGCAGCAGCCAGAGAUCUUUGCUUAAUGGCUGAGAAACACAGAGGAGAGACCCAGAGAGAAGGAGAAGGCCGCAUGAAGAUGGAGCAGAGACUGGAGUUAUUCAGCCAAGUCAAGGAAUGCCUGGAGCACCAGAAGCCGGAAGAGGCAAGGAAGGAUCCUCCCUUAGAGCAUUUGGAAGAGUGUGGCCCUGCCAACACCUUGACUUCAAACUUCUGGCCUCCAUAACUAUGAAAUAAAUUCUUGUUGUUUUAAGCCACCAAGUUUGUGGUAACUUCUUACAGCAACCCUAGGAAAUUAACACACAGAGUGUCAGUUACCUAAACAUUGUGAGCCUCAGUUACCUUAUCUGAAAAUGGGGCUAAAACUUAGACCUACCUUUUAGGGCUGCUUUAAGGAGUAAUAGAAAUUAUACAUGGGAAUUACAUGGCACCAAGUUGUUCCUUAAUAGAGGGAAACUGUUAUGAUGGCGGAAGAGCAGUAAUGAAAUACUGAAUUCAUCCAGCAGAUGGCAGAAGAUGGAUUUGCAAACAAGAGGACUUCAUAAGGUUUGCUGCCCAGCAAUGCAGCUCCAGGCCUAAAGUAGCCUUCCUAGCUCACAGACUGAUGAGGAUUAACCCUCGCCAACUCAAGUGUGCUCUCAGCUCUGUAGAAACUAAACUAAUUCUGUUUUCCUUUGACCAUUGUACACCACAGAGGCUGGCAAUGGAGAAUAUAAAGAGUGGUGCAACAGAAAAUACCUGGGUUCUAGGCUCAGCUCUGUCACCUCAUUAGGAUUCAGUUUGCCCAUCUGUAAAGUAGUGACAAGAUGAAAUACCAAGUGUAACGUAAUUAAAGGGCUGUUGUGAUACCAAAAUAACAUAAUGUGUAAAAGUGCUAAAAACAAGAUGCCAUAAAGCACAGAAGGGGCCCAGGAGAGAUUAAUUCAUGGAGAACUUACUCGUUUUUUUGAGACAGAGUCUCACUGUGUUGCUCAGGCUGCAGUGCAGUGGCGCGAUCUCAGCUAACUGCAAUGUCUGCCUCCUGGGUUCAAGUGAUUCUUGUGCCUCAGCCUCCUGAGUAGCUGAGACUACAGGUGCACGCCACCAAGCCUGGCUAACAUUUUUUGUAUUUUUAGUAGAGAUGGGGAUUUCACCAUGUUGGCCAGGCUGUUCUCAAACUCCUGUCCUCAAGAGAUCCGCCCACCUUGGCCUCCCAAAGUGCUGGGAUUACAGGCAUGAGCCACUGUGCCUGGCCUAAUUAAUGGAUAACUUCUGCAAGAAUCCAGGGUCACGGUUGAUUUGUUUAUUCAUUUAUUCACUCAGCAAACAUUUCUUUGUGCCAGGCAUUGUGCUAGGUCCAGGGAAUACUGCUUACGUUGGAGAAGUUCGCAUUCUAGUUUGGGUGGACAAACAUGUGAUAAAGAUGUGUACAGGGCAUAGUUUUCUCUCAGCAGCUAGGGUAACAUUCCAACUCCAUGUUUUGGUUUAAGAAACACAUUUGAUUUUAUUUAAAAUAUUAUAUAUUUUCUCUUUUAUUUCUUUUCCCUAUUUACAAUAAGGCUUACUUGCAAAAUUAAGAAAUACAUUUGAGUGGGUAGUUCCCUUGGUAAAACAUUUAUAUUUCCUUCUUAAUUUCUUUGUAAAAGUCUACUCUUAAACACUACUAUUUAGAGUUAAGUGAGAAAAGAAAAUUGCAGGACAGAAUGCACAGAAAGAUCUAUUUAUCUAUCUACAUAAAAACUGGAAGAAUACACUCCCAUACUGUUAACAGUGGCUACCUCUAGGGAAAGGGUGAAGUGAUAUUUGAAAAAAUGGGGCUUUUACCUUUUCUUUUCUUUCCUUUU
rnacentral:lncRNA from 1 species